UACGGGGGGGGCAAGCGUUGUUCGGAAUUACUGGGCGUAAAGGGUUCGUAGGUGGCUUGCUCAGUCAGACGUGAAAUCCCUCAGCUUAACUGGGGAACUGCGUCUGAUACUGGCGAGCUUGAGUGCAGGAGAGGAAUGCGGAAUUCCAGGUGUAGCGGUGAAAUGCGUAGAUAUCUGGAGGAACACCGGUGGCGAAGGCGGCGUUCUGGACUGCAACUGACACUGAGGAACGAAAGCCAGGGGAGCAAACGGG
rnacentral:rRNA from 1 species